rnacentral:rRNA from 1 species
GACGAACGCUGGCGGCGUGCUUAACACAUGCAAGUCGAGCGAAAAGACCCAGCUUGCUGUGUUCUCGAGUGGCGAACGGGUGAGUAACACGAAGGUGGUCUGCCUCUCACUUCGGGAUAAGCUAGGUAAACUGGGUCUAAUACCGGAUAGAACAAUUGUUGAGCGUCGUGUUUGGAAAGUUUUUUCGGGUAGUGCUGAGCCCGCGGCCUAUCAGCUUGUUGGUGUGGUAAUGGCAUAACGAAGCGGCGUCGGGUAGCCGGCAUGCGAAGGUGCACGGCGACAUUGGGACUGAGAUAGGGCCCAGACUCCUACGGGAGGCAGCAGUGGGGAAUCUUGCGCAAUGGGGGCAAGUCUGAUGCAGCGACGCCGCGUGGGGGAUGACGGCCUUCGGGUUGUAAACCUCUUUCGACAGGGACGAAGCUUUGUUGACGGUACCUGUAUAAGAAGCACCGGCUAACUACGUG